rfam:Schizosaccharomyces pombe chromosome I, complete replicon
GCGGAAUCGUCAGCACUCGUUAAACAGGGAGUAAGAGGGAGUAAUAGAGUUGCCUGCAAGAGUAAACCUAGUUCAAACCUGCGAAAUUUGACGUGCAGUCAGUAGACGACGACCUGGCUGUAAACUAGCAUUUUUUACGAUUAAUUAGAAAGGUUAUUUGCUUUUUGAUUAAAUACGGAGAGUUUGGAUAACACAAGGGAUCGAAACAUUU